CUGGUCCUGGAGGGGAGAUGGGUGUCCUCAUGUCCAGGGGCAAGCCUCCCACCCCUCAGGGCAUCCUCCUGUCCUGCAGAUGGUGGGUGACCCCAGAGAAGGAGGGAGGGCAGAGGGAGGGAUGGGAGCGCCGUGCUCCGGGAGGCAGGGACGGGGGACUCUGCAGCCGUCUUCCCAGGGCCUCAGGGUGCCAGCCCCUCGGUGACACUGUCCCUGAGGCGGAAGCCUGCCACCCACACCUCACUUGUCCCUCAGCUUCAGCUCUUCGCUGUCCUUGUUGAGCCUGUUUCCCAGCACAGUCUCAGGCGGGCCCUCCGUUCACUCCACGUUCGCAUGGCUGCACGACUGGCACGGUGCUGGGGUCCCUACGUGUUUGUUGAUUGACUGAAGGGCUGAUGAUUAGCACUGAUGGCGGGAAGCGGGGAGGCUCAGCGUCCCCCACAGGCCUUCCCCAGGAGGAGCUGUUGAGCUGCAGCUGGGGAACGUGGGGCUCAGGGGACGCACCCACGAGUUCCAUGUCGCUGAGCCCUGGUGCGACCCCAGAACCAACGCCGCGAUUCCGGGAGGCUCAACCAGAGGUGACACCGCCCGGGGUUACGUCACUGAGGGUGGCCUGGGAGGAAGUGCGGCCAGGGGCAGUCCUGCUUUCCAGGAGGGCACCUCCCUCCCCAUUCUCCUCACAAGUGCCCCGUGUUGCUGCCCUUUCAUGUUUGCACUAUGGUUAGAAAAUCUCGUCAAAGUCAGUGAAAACAAUCCUGUUGGGGUUCGUAUUGGAUCUAUAGGUCCCUUUGGGAGUGGUGACGUCUCCGUGAUUGACCGCCCUUCUAUCCAAGACCGUGGUGUAUCUCUCAAUCAAGUUAGGUCUCCCCAGAAAUAUGUCCCAAAAGCACACACGCGUCCAGAGCAGCUCUGUUCCCGACACCAGGCGCCCGGGGGCGGGUGGAGGGGCAAACACGCGUCCACCCACCCGGGAACAGUCCUCAGCAAGGACAUUCUGACACAUGCUGCCAUGCGGAUGGACCCUGGGGACAUGAUGCUGUGUGAGCAAGACAGACCCCAGAGGACACGUGCCGAGCAGUUCCCCUUCUGUGGGCAGAGCCGCGGGGACAGAAGGUGGAAGGGAGACCCCUAAUUGUCACCCAUCUGAGGUCGCAUCUCAGGUCUCUGUUUUUAUACACAGGCUUCACCAGGCUGUCCACAGGGUGAAUUCCAUUUAUGGUUUUUCUAAUGACCACCCAGACUUGAAUUCCUGUGACACCCCCAGCUUGGCCACAGUGUUUGAUGCCCGUAUCCCUCAGCGGAUGUGAUCUGCACGCCUUUGGAACAGUGUGGUGUCUACAGUUUCCCUUCUUACAAUGACUUUAGUCUGGCAUUGACAUCAGUGCCAGUUAAGUAAAACUGGGCUGAUCAAUUGCUUGAAAUUUUGGUAGCAUUCACCUUUAAGAUAUCCAUGGCUGGUGCUUUCUUUUUUUUUCCCAUAGGUUUUUUUCUUUUUUUAUGGUCCCAUUUUUAAUGAUUAUUUUUCCACAAGUUGUGGUUUCCACGAUCUUUCUGUAGGAUCUUUUCUAAUAACCACUCAAACUUGAAUUCCUGUGACACACCAGCUUCCAAAACACAGCACGAGCCAUACACCUUUCCAAUAAGUUGGAUUAAAAACUUAUGCUCAUCAAAAAACACACUUAAGAAAAUGGGGGGAGUCACAAUAAGCAGUUAUAAUUCACCUUCAAUGAAAUUCACCUCCUUUUGUGUACAGAUCUAGGAGCUUUGGCUAAUGUGUGCAGUCGGGGCACAGCCACCACAGUGACGACAGAGAACAGCUGCUUCACUCGGAAGCUUCCUUGGGCCCCUUUGCGGCCAACCCCUCUCUCCGCCCCAGGCCCUGGCAGCCCACGUGUAUGUCGUCUUCUGUAAUCUCGCUGCUUCAGGGAUGUCACAUGCACGUCCCUGGGGUCGGGGCUCAUUGCUGAGCAUAAUGCAUUUCAGGCUCAUUCAUACGCUGCCCACAUCCGUACUUCAGCUCUUUCCACUACGUGGAAACUCCAACUGUUUACCUGUUAUUAUUUUUUUUACUUAAAGUGUUUUUUUGAUUUUUUGUUUUUAAUCUGAAUGUACUGGUUGCAUUUGUGUUGCUUGGGUUCUGGGAGAUUAUGCUUCAGGCCAGGACCUAAAUCGUGUGUGAAUAUCAUUUUCACACUCCUGCCCAUGUGAAUUUAUGCCUCACCUCAUCCUCCCUAGACCUUGGCUGUCAUCCUCGCGAAAUGCUGUUUUAAUAGAUGUCUAUUUAUUUUAACCCACAUUUCCUGACGAUGAACGAUGCAGUGUUUUCAUGUGCUGUCUUGCCACCUGCACGGUUUCUUGGGUUCACUUUCAAAUCUUUUCAACAAUGUCUUUACUUGUGUUUUCGUGUUCUCGUUAUGGAAUUUGGAGAAUUCUUUAUGUUCUGGAUACAAGCAUUGUACCGUUUGCAAAUAUUUUCUCCUUAUUGUGACUCCUCCCAUUUUCUUAAGUCUGUUUUUUGAUGAGCGUAAGUUUUUAAUCCGACUUAUCAAAAAAGUGUAUGGCUCAUGCUGUGUUUUGGAGAGUAUUUGCGUGUAACACUUUUCUGUCUCUUAACUUGCAAAUUUCGCUUCUCUCUUGUAAACAGUGUCUAUUUGGAUGUGUUUUCACAUCCACCUUCAGUAUUGGCCUUUUAGCUGGUAAGUGCACUCUCCGUUCUCAUUACAGUCAUCAAUCUCCACAGGCUGCUUUCUGCCACCUUGAUGCCAUCCUGUCUGGCCGUCUCCUUCCCCUUCUUCUCUCACCUGUCUUCCGGUGCAGCCCCAGCGAGAUGAGAUGCUUAUCCGCCUCGCCCGCCGCCCUGCCCACCCCACACGCGAUGCUGUCCAGACUGUUGACUCUGGGUUACUGUGGAUGUAUCUUCUCACCUCUCUGAUGCUAUCUAUUCUUCAGAAAUAACAGUAACCUUUAUCAUGCUAUUGAAUUUCCUUUGCUGAAUGUAUCUCUUGCAACAUUUUCCUUUUAUCUGAGAGCUCUAUCUAAACUGUUUCAGAGGUUUGAGAUGGGGGGUUCCCAAGAAUAAUACCUAUGUUACCCUCAUCCUUAAGUGGAGGUUUGCUUGGUUCUAAAUUAUUGAGACUGUGAAGUAUUACAUUUAAA